UGAAAGUUCCAACCCCUCAAAUGUGAGAAUUUAGGUUUUCUCGUUUAUUAUAUUUUUGACUAUUAGUCAAAAGAUAUUUAAAGAAUUCUACUUGGGCUCUAUGAAGUUUUGUUAGACCAAAUGAUCAGUCAACAAAAUAACUGGCUGAUCGCCACAUUAAAUUACAUUGGCUGCCAGCACCUCUAGCUGCAUGUUUUUAAAAAAAAUUUGAGCCCUCAUACUGUAUCUCCAGUAGAAAUUGUGUGAAAAUUACAAAAGUGGCUAUAUUUAUAAUGUAUGAUUAUGGAUUAAAUAAUUGCAAAGUAGCUAAAAUGGAAGCAUAAACAGCUGAACUGGAGGAAAUACAUUGAAUCGCUUCCUCUUUAAUAUUCAAAAUCUUACAAUAAAUUCCAUAAAGUCACUUUUAUAAAUGCAAACAUUUAUGAAAACAAACAUGAUGGUGAAGUGGUUGAACAUACUGCACCUUCCCAGGAUAAAAGAAUAUGCAGCAAUCCUUCCUGAGAGAUUUCCAAAUGUGUCCCAUAGUCAAGAGAUUCUUCCAGAGUCUGACUGAAGAGCAGUUCAGGGAAUUGAGUAAAGUGGUUUACAAUCAAGAUUUGACGAAGGUGCUUAGGUGCAUACCUUAUGUGUGGAUGUAGUGAAGCUGACCACAGACUACAUCACGAAAGUACAGUCAUCCAUCCACCUCUGACGUCUUCAACCAACCUAGACCCAUAUGAUGAAAGCGCCACUGGAGGCGACAUCCCUGUGAGGACAUCACCCCAGUUCACCGGGGCCAUAGGAUGGUCAACUUUCCUCAAGAAGAAAGAGGAGAAAAAAAAACAAGGACGCAGAAGCCAUGGUAGGAACACCUGUCAAGUCCCUAUGGAUCGAGGUUGUGAUUUCAGCCAUCUCUCUCCCCUCUGCCCCUUCUCCCAUGUCUCCAUUGUUUCCUUCUCUCCACCCUUUUCCACCACAUACACACUAACAUACCUCUGCUCACAACCAUGUCAGUGCACACAACUUUUAUUUAUGCCAAAUUGUGCUCACUGGCUUCCAUUACAGGGCCAAGAGCAAAGUAAAGAGGGAACAAGAUCUCUUUGUGCCUGACACUCAAAGCAGCAAGCUGGAGUCCCCUGAACACCUUGUGCUAAAGAAAACCAAACAAGAACUCUUAAAGCAUUUCUUUACUUCAUGGCAUUUUUUUCUUUCCAGUAUAUAUAACAUACACACAAAGUAAUAACAGAACACCUAACACAAACAAUGAUGAUGAGAAGUCAAAGGCCAUUUGUCCUUUAUACACCAGGUACUAUACAAAAGCCCUCAGUAUAGAUUGCAAUCCAACACAUUCUUUCACCACAAAGUUGAAGUCAUUCAAAGCUGAACUAUUCAACCUACUGUGUUAGAUGAGAACAAGUGAACUAAAAGUGUGUGUGUUAUUCUAAUAUUGACAUUACUGUGGAAAAUCUCUGGUAAAUAUUGUCAUUUCUGCUACUGUCAGCUACAGAGCAUCCCUCGGCUCAAGGGGAAGGUAUAUAAAACUCUUUCACCCAAGAAUAUAACUCAAUAGUACAAAAUAAAGCUUAUACUGUCAUUAACCCAAAGCUGUUACAGAGCCACUGCAUUAGCAGCGUAUGGAUUUUCAUCAUUACCACUCACACCUCUUGGUAAAACUGUCCUGAAUCCUGGAAAUAAAAUGACAUGAACCUCUACAACUUACUGCAGACAAUGAUCAAUAACUUGGCGUUUGAAAGAAAUCUGCUACUUUAUAAAGAAGCACAGGAUGAAAUAUUUAGGUUCUCACAGGUGUGUGACAUGGAACCAUUUUCACUUCUGAAUGUGCAAAAGUAACUACUUAGCAGAAUAAUUAU